UUAUAAUCUUUUUUAUAGGAUCGAUUGCGGAAACUAAUCGUGCUCCAUUCGAUUUAGCUGAGGCUAUUAACUAAUACGAUUUGGCCUCAUAAAAGAUCAUAAAUUGCAGGAAAGUCCUAUUAUGGGGGGAGGAAGAUUAUCUUAUAUAGGAAAAUCAGCAGGGAAGCAAGCUUUUUUAUUAAUUACUUAAUAAAAAAUAACCUUCAGAGACUAGACGUGAUCAUUUAAUAUAAUAAUAUUUAUUAAAUAAGGUAUAGUCCAAACUUGAGCGUAAGCUUAAG
rnacentral:ncRNA from 1 species